rnacentral:lncRNA from 1 species
GUCUGUUUUGCCAUCAUCUAUUCCAUUAACAUUAUGAUUAAUGAAAGCUCACUACAAUUUCAAAUAUUUUGAAAACUAGCCAAUGCUGGCUCUUUGGAGGCUACAUUGAAAAUAAAUAACAAUAAAAAUAGUGUGACUUAGGCUUUUGAAGUCUUUAAAGAAACCAUCACUAUGAUCUUUACUACUGCUGCGGAAAAGAGGACAACACUCCACAUUUCUGGCAUUGUAAAUGACAACACCGCAACUGAAAGCAAGCUUGAAUUUCUGGGAGUAGCAUUAGGAUACAGGACCCCUGCUGAGCUCACCAGUUCCUUGCUCUACACAGCUGCUUUCUCAGCUGGGGUUUUGAAAUAAGCACUGUGAGAAAAGACAGAAAUGACCAUGAUGCAUCUUUCUCACUAUGAGAAAAAGUGCCAAUUUUUAGAAUGGAGGGUGUAGAUCCAUCCUUUGCAACUGGUGAGGACCUCCUCAGUAAGGCACUGAGCCAGGAGUCUAUACAGCCAUGCCAGCAGGGAGCACUGUCUUUCAUUGUCUGAUGUUUAUUGCAAACCUGUUCUUUUCAGCUUUUUGUUGUUUCAGCCUAGUCCAAAGACGUUUACAUCCUGGAAGAGAACUUGCUGGCUUUUCACCUCAGCAUGUAUGGGCCAAACUAAUAUAACAAGAAGUCUUGAGAGGAGUCAGCGGCCAAGCUCCAUGUCUUGCAGCCAAACAAUGCUGUGGGAUGGAAGGUGGGAUGUCAUGUGUCUGGUUUACAGCACUCACGUAUCAGUUGGCAGUUAACGGAAGUGCUACUGAUUGGUGAUAUGCCUACUCCCCCUUCACCUUCGAUCAUGAUUGUAAACUUCGUGAGGACAUCACCAAAGGCUGACAUUGGCAACAUGCUUCCUGUACAAUCUGCAGAACAACGAUGGAACAAAAUAAAC